rnacentral:lncRNA from 1 species
CAUCAGCAAGCUGUCCUUCCUGUUUUAUCACAAGAUUCCUGUAGCAGAUUGAGCUCUGGCAGUUGAUCUCAGUGGCUUGAUAGAGUGUCAUUAUAAAAACGCACCUGGAAGAUUCUGUGGAAAAGACAACCUCAGAAGACCAAGGUGAAUCCAAGGCCUGAUCUGGACUCUUAAUGGGUGGUUAAAUUCUAGUUCCUUUAAAUAAGCAUCAAAGACGCCACAAAACCACAGAUAAAGCUGCCAUAGACAGCUAUAUUUGGGACUCAUUUAUCAUUUGUCACAAGCAUUUCAUCCUCUUGCAAUAUUUUUUUCUACUUAGUACUUCUACAAGAAGGAAUCUGCCCACCACUCAAGCCUGGGAAAGCUGGCAGAGGAUGCACGUGUUUUACUCACCUGAGUGUUUACAAUGCUCGUGAGGUGCCUCCCUGAUAUUUUUAUAGCAGAAUGGAGAAACACAACCAAGGAGAUACACCUAAGUAACAACAGCAAUGAUGUCAAAAAGAGUGCCUGAAUACUUAGGGUGGAGGUCCUGGACAUGCAAACCCAAGCUUCCUCUUUGCUGUGGCCAGGAAUCUGCAGUGAUUGAGAGCACAGACUGUAUCUAAAAUUCCACCUUUCAAAGUUCAGCAUAUUACUUUUUUUUUUCUUACACCUAUAAGUACAGAGGAAUGAAGAAGGAAUAAACAGACCUUCUGGAUAAUUGCAUCAGCCUUCCCCACUAUUCCAAUGCCAUGCUAACAUUUCAAGUAAUGUCCCUUUUGUCUUGCUGAGAAAAAAUCAUUUCAUGAUUUAUUACACUGGAUUAAAGGCUAUGCACACUCUGGAGUUGGAACAUGACUGAAGGGCAAGCAAGCAUAAAGGAUAUCAGAAACAGUUGAUGUGUUUAAAUUUUUCUGAAUUUCUCAAGUAAACUUUUUAGAAAGUAGUCUGAAGAUAAAAUGGUUAUAUAAGUUACUUAAACUGUAGAUGAUGGCACCUUUAUCCCUAUAUAAUAAAAUUAAGGUAAGAAUUAGUUCUACAAAAAGCUUUCUCUUUUAGAGAUUUCUGUUUUAUCAGAUUACUGUUUGCCAAAGUGAAUUUCAUAAUAUGUGACUUUUUUUCAGUAUCAUUGAUUGUCAUUGAGCUUGAGAGCCUGAGUUUUUGCUGAAAUUGUUCCAAUGCACAGAAAAUGCCAUAAAAUUGAGCCUACCGUGGGUUUUUUUUUUUUUUUUUGGAUAUUACCUACACUUGUAGAAAAUCAAAGUUUAUUCUAGUCUUUGUAUGCUCUGCAUAUCUGAAAUACAAGAGGGGCUUCUGUCAGUCUGGAAGUGAUGAUAUUUGAUUUCUCAUUUCUUACUAUGGUCUCUCUCCAGAUAAGUAAGUUAGCUAAUUCAUCUACUUGAUCCUCAAUUAAUGGCCUUCUUGAUUAAAUAAGAAGAUGACAAGGUUUCUCCUUAAUAUGAAAUUUAAAUUACACAGAGCAAAAAAAAAUUGUAUUAAUCUUUAAUACCUCCCAUGGAGACUUGAAUUCUUCACUAUACAGUCCAAUAAAUGGAAUAUUUAAAUAUUUAAAGGUUCCAGCAAAAAGUUCCAGCCAGCUGUACUGUUCUAAUAACAAGGUCUAUCAACUUUUUUUUAACUGAGCAAUUUUAUGAUAUUUUGUGAAGAGAAAGAAAAAACCUGCUUAGCCAGCCAGUUACCUGCUUACUUAAGGCAGAUUAUUUAUCCUAGAGGUCCCAUUGUCUAAGGCAGAUUAUGUAUCCUAUUGUCUUCUACUGACAUUCAUUUCUAUUCAUCAUUUAUAAACUUUAUUGAAACAUAAUUUCAAAAUAAAAAGAUAUGCCAUCAUCAUCACCAACAAAAUUAUGUUGAUGAUAGAAAUCUUAUUGUUUUCUCAGACUUAAUCUAUCCUCAAAAUAUAAUUUUCAAAACAUUUAAAGACUUGAUUCUUUUACAAGUUGAGAGAGGAUGAGUCAACAAUUUAUUUAAUUAAUGAUGAAAACAAUAGGAUUGUAAAACUGAUUCAUAAAUUUAUAGAUAAGACAGAAGUAUUUAUAGUCCCUGAAAGACAUAAUAUUGAUAUAGGAUUGUUAAAUUAAAUAGAAAGCUAGUACCCUUCAAGGAUUUGUGGGUGUAGCUUUUGACUGACAGAAUAAAACUCAGAUUCACAAAAGGCCGGAGAGUUUUUUUGGGAGAAUUAUAUCAUCAGAAACACUAUCAGCCACCAGCUUGCACUGUAAGUGAGAAAGACAGUACAGAAUGAAAGGGGGUCAUUGAACUCCCAGAAAACAGGCUUAGAAAAUGAUUCAACUGCAAACAUGUGCUAGCUUUCUUGAAAAAAAGGGGCUAAAUAUUUGUUGCUUAGUGUUGUGAAGUUUGGGGGGUAAUUUAAGCAGUAGAUAAUUAAGACACAAUGAAAGGUUAAAUGUUAUAUUCGAAAUAGGUGUUUUACACACAAUUUAGAAAUGGAGAUAAGAAAAGUAUGCAGAUAUCGAUAACACAAGUAAAGUAAGAUAAAUGUCACAAGAGAAAUUCACAGCAAGUCUAUGUCAACUUGUUGAAAGAGUGAGCAAAGAGCAUUCCUGGCCAUAUUGAUUAGAACCAGGCAAGAUGUUAUGCAAGAAGAAAUAAUUGAAAACACAGGAAUUGAAUUUGAAACCUAACAAUUAGAAGUUGUGUGAUCCACAGCUGGUCAACUGCCUUUACUUGUUUCUCUGAACGAGAAUCCCUCAUGAGGAUUAAAUAGGCCAAAGGUACAUGCUUUUUUAUCCAGGGUGGUCUACUUUCAUGCCAUUUUCCCAGCAAAUAUAUUAAAAGUGCCCUCUUUUACUCUCAGUGAAGUCUUGCUUUGGAUGAUGAAUUAUAUGGUUACCUGAGGAUUGGUUCAAAUAAUGCAUAGGCAAUUUUAAAAAGUGAUACUAAACAAAAAAAAAAAACCCACCAAAAUUUUACACUUUGCAAGAAACAUAAUUAAUUUUAAUAAAUUUUAUCACAAAGUUACCCUUUGCACUUACAUACAAGUAUGAACAGAGGCUUCAUAUACUUACAUAUAUCAAUGUAUAUAUGAGCAUAUUUAUACUAUACACCCCAAAACAUAUAAAAAUAGAAAGCAUGUUUGCAUAACAGUUUAGAAAGAUUAAUCUGACGGUGAUGAGUCAUAAUUCAGAGUAAGGAAAAAGAUAUUGCCUCAAGUUUGGUAUUGGAUUUUUCCAUUUCACACACAAGAUUGAUGAAUUUCUGUCUAAUGGGGUAUAAUAUAUGAAAUCAGAUAUAUCAUAACAUAUCUAUGGUUAUGUCUCACCCACCAUAAAUUAUUUAAAAGGGAAGCAAAAUCAAUAAAACAACAAAAAGCUCAACUUUAAACACAAUCAUCUGGGGUAACUAGAGGAGCAAUGGGAAUAGCAACUGAAGGAUAAUUGGUCACAACUGUUUUCAUCAAAUAUAUUUUUGGUGCAGAGAAAAACUAUUUUCCUUAUUCCCAGAGCGAGUAAGAAUGCAGAGACAUGAAUACUUUGGUUGGGAUUUGGAAAAUAUAGUCAAACUUUAACAACUUUAUACAACAGUUCUUAAAAAUGUAUUAGUGUCAAACUCACCCUUUAGUGACGAAGAGGAGUGACAGCUGUCUUCGCACAGCUGAUUGCAGAGAAUAGUGUGUGCAACGUCAUUGCAGGUACUACUUCAGGGUGAUUCAUUGGAAAUCUGUCUUGAGAAUUAAAACAUUAACCAGAACUUUUAAUACAAUUUUUAAGCUAAAGAAAAAUUCAUUGGCUUGAGGCACUUUUUCAGAACAGGGAUUUAACGCUCUGGCAAGGGCCUGAGGAUGAGGCAACCUUGCUGCUAACGCAGCUUCUUAGAAGCCUAAAUAAAUUGAUAACCCAAAAUCAGGGCAGUGAAAAUACCUGUGUUGACCUGGCAGAGAAAGUAAAAAAAAAGCUCAGAUGUGGACAUCCUGAAAUGUAUGUACUAGGUGAGGCCAUAACACUUAUGAGAGAAUUAUGUUCCAGGGAGGACCCAGAGGACAAUCUAAUCACCAAGGGCAUCAGGAAAGCACUGGAUAGAAGGCCAGCAGCAUUGCUGAGAAAUCCAGCGGUGGCUGUGCUCUGCAGACAGAGCCACCCACCUCAAGGGUCAUGUUACAUUUCUAUUGUUCUAACAAUUACAACUAACCAAUUCAUAACUUAAAGGCAAUUCUUACACUCAGUGAUUUUCUCAAAAUUGAGGUUUAAGCCUGAGUUGUACUAAAUUAAUAGUAUGAAUGUAUGUGCUGCUUAAAGAAAGCAAUUGCUUUUCUCUUUGUGCUCAUGUAUUACUUGUCUUCGAGAAAACUGUAUUCUGCAUAAAGUGUAAUGUUCUGCGUGGUCAGAAAGGUUUAGUAGAAUGAGCACAGGCUCUCAAAUCAGAAAGAAUUGUAAUUUUGGCUAUAAAAAGUUUUGAAUUUUAAAUUAUAUUAAUAUAUUAAGCUCUUACACUUAUUGAAUGCAUAUUAUGUGCAGAUAACUCUUCUGGGCACUUUAUUUGGAAUUAAUUAUUUAAUCCUCAUAACAACGCCAUGAAGAUCAUACUAUUACCAUCCAAAGUUUACUGAGGAAGAUACUGAGGCAAGGUUGGUGACUAGUAACAUGACCACAUUUGCUGUGGAUAGGUCAAUCCAGGACAUCUGACUUCAAAACUUGCAAUCUUAGCCAUAUGAUAAUUUGCAUCUUUAUUUUGAUUCAUGAUUCUAAGAAAUGUUCAUUGAGCUCUUACGCUGUUACAGACCCCACAGAAGCAGCAAGUAAUGGAAUUAAAAAAAAUCUCUUCUCUCUUGGAGCUGACAUUAUAGUGGGAAAUGGAAAUAAUUAGAAGAUUGUUGUCAUAUUAAAAUAUACAAUCCAUUGUGCCUGAAACUAUGGAGGCUAAAAUGGAUAGCUUGCUUCCUUGAAAUCUUAGGGAAAAGAUGAUUAAUGUUUGCCAAAGAAUUGAAAGGCCCAAAUUGAGAAUAACUGGAGUCCUUAAACUUGCCAUUUUGCAUUCUAGCAAAAUCAUACAUCUUUGAUUUAAUAAUUAGAAGGGAAGCAAGCUACUGCUCCUUUGUGUAUAAUUACAAGCUUGUUGCAGGCAAAUAAUUCUGUAUAUUAACAACUUUUUCACAUUUUUGGUGAAUCAUUAUCUCUUCAGUUUCUGACAUUAUAACAGCUAUCAUAUUUGUAUACUUUCUAUCAAAUUUGCCUUGAUAUGAAGGGGUUUUACAAACUUAUUGAUCAUUUAUGCCAUGUAUAGUGUUAUUGGGGAUAUAACAAAAAUAAAAAACUGUUUUGGUCCUCAAUAGAUUUACAAUCCAAAGCAGAGUGGGAGGAAGAGACCUACAAGACCAUGUUUCAUUGGAUAGCUUUGGAGUAAUAUCUAUAAUUUUAGAAAAAAGUUAAGAGGAAGAAGAAACUGGUGUCAGCUACACUUAGAAGAUUUUACAACAGAGACUGGCUUCCAUUCACUGAUCAGACAUUCACUGAUUUUUAAUUCUUACCACCAGAGAAAAAGUUGUUAUGAUGAGGGUCCUCAGGAAAGACAAUACAGUCAGCCGAGAAAUACAAUUUUCUUUGUCUACUGUUGUUUCCUUUACACGGACCAUUGAAAUAUAUACUUAACCACCAGCAAAACUCCUAUUAAACACAAGUAAAAAAAAAUCACUACAUGCAAAAGAGUGAACACCAGGCAAAGUGAUAAUUUAUGAAUUUCCAGGAUUUUUGUUGUAAUUUACCCGUGUAAGUUUACAAUAAAUGAUUGAUGUAACUAAAUUUAUGGAUUGCAAUUAAUUACUAGGUUUGUACCACAGAUGAAGUAAUAUAUAUAUUGUCUAAUUUAAUAAUGAUUUGUCUACAGAAUUCAACCAACUGCUCAUUACAGAAUCUGAUGAACCUACCUUUAGACUACCUGUUAUCUUAACUACCUGUGAAGAUACUAUAUAUGAUGUAAUAGGUUUAACAAAUAAUGAAGGACCUUUUGUCCUUGCUUGACUCAAGAAGGGAUGGAGGGUCUCCAAGAAAUAUAAAUGUAGUCUGCUAUAAUGGGUAUUAGCUAGAUUAGUACUUCAGAAAAGGAAGAAUUAUUUUCAUUAUCAAAUGAUUAUUUGAUAUUUCCAUUCUGCAUUCUAAGCACAUAUUAGUUGAUGUACAGGUGCUGCUGGAUAACUGUUUGGAAACAGACCACAAAAUCGCUCCAAAAGGUAAAAUUCUCAAAUAACAGAGUUGUCAUGGUUGUAAAAAAAAGGUAUGAUAAAUACAUAAAAGCUGGCAAAAAUGGGGAAGGAUUAAAACUGUAACCUUAGUUAUCCUUCAGUAAACAUAGUUAAGUAGAAUGAAGCAGAUGUUUAUUCUGGUAGAUUCUAUUGCAAUGUUACAUUUUAACUUAAUAUUUCUAUUUUGUGAUUUAUUUUUAGUAUAGCAAAAUGUUUGGUUAAUAUUGUGGGUAUUGAUACUGUGUUAAAAUUUGUGACAGUCUAUUUAAUUUUUCAAUAUGAAGAAGUAUUACUGCUAUGAUGAAAUAUUUACUGUUGUGGUGGAAAUAAAUAAGAAAAUAGAAUUGACUAAAAGCAAAACAAACCAAUAAAAAAAGAAAAAAAGUCUGUUAUUUAUCAACAAAACAUUAGGAAAUUUACAUGCUUAAAGUAAACUUUGAUUCCCUAUUCCAAAGUGCCUUAUAUAUUCUACUCUCUUUGCUUUCACAUAAAUUUAUUCUAUGCUAUAAUGUAACUGGUAUACUAUUAAGUCCCAUACAUAUGUUACAUUGAACCAUACAUUUUUCUAUUCCAGGAAAGAGAAUUUUCUCAUUUUUUCCACCACUACCAUCCACCACAAUGACCACUAUUUUUCUCUUCACUUAAAAAGUAUCAUUUAUCUAAAGUUAAUGGCAUAGUUUCAGACUUCUCAUGUGUCCAAGCAUAUGAAUUAACAGUUCCUAUGUUAUUGUCCUAAGAUUUGUAGGUUAAACCUUGGAUAUUCCCAUCUGAGCAUCUGUACCAAACAGAAAAGACCUGUGUGAGUUCCUGAGAACCAGUGCUCAUUCCAGAAGAGACAGGUUUCUCUCCAGGAAGAAAUGUCUGAAAUUCAGUGAAUUAAAAUCCUCAUUGAGUCUUCCUACUCUUUACUUCUCCCUGGAAAAACUGGUUACGAAAAUUUAAUAUUCUGUCAUGAUAAGAUCAAGCUCUAUCAGAUCAGCCAUACAUAUCAAGUACAUUUUGACAAACUUGAUUCAUACUGUUUUCAAAUUAUGAACAACCAAGGCUCUUCUAUCCAAAAAUAUUGAUUAUUUAAUUCUGAAUAUCAUUACAGAGCAGUAAUAUGCUCUCAGCAUUUGGGGAUACAAGAGUCAGAAGAUGGACAAGCUUCCUUCCUAACAACAAUUACCACUUAAUUACAAUAUACCAAGUAGUAUUUUAUCUGCUAGGUAUAUUGGACUUACUUUUCACAGAUAGUUUAUACUAACAAAAUUUCUAACCAAAAUAUUUCUUGAAAAUUACUGAUUUUAUUUGAAAUUAUGUGCAGGAAAAAUACAAGCAUAUCUCUGAAUUUCUAUUUGUCUGUUAAACAAAAGGGGAUAAAUAUGACUAAUGUCAUUUAACAAGAGGAAUUACAGACUAUGAAAAGAGUAGCUUAUUUAUAUCAACUCACAAUACUUUCCAGAGAGAGAAAGAAAAAGGCUAUUAUGUGGCCUGAACAAGAAGUUGGCCAUCCUUUUCCCUUUCUUUGUGGAAGAUGGUCCUGAUAGGAUAGAGACUUAAAGAAGGGAUUGAUUUGUUUUCUCCAGCUGUCCUAAUAGUGAGUGAAUAAAAUUAACUGUGAACUAUUUCAAUCAAUAACUCAAUGAUUGACUUACAUUGAUUAGAAAAGAGCUGAUUCUUUGCCAUGGAUAUCUAGAUACCUUGAUGAUCCUAUUUUGAACCAAUUUAAAAGUAGGACAAUACCCACUGGAUGGAAGUUUCAAAACCUGAAAACAAUAAAACCCACAAGAUUUUAUUUCUUUUAAUAACUUCUGUGACAAUGAAAUUGAAGUCUUACACACUUUUUUUUUUUUUUACUCCAGUGUCUUGUUAUCUGGAGCAAAAUUCAGAAAGGAGAGCAACUAUGUAAAAAAGUAAGAAUUUUGGCUUGCUAUGCCAUUCUUAGAGGUUUCUUUUAUCUUUAUAUUUUCUUGAAAUGUCUUGUGUAAAAUUUAAACAACUUCCUGUACUAUAAAUAAGAUAUUUUGAAGGCAAGCAUAUGCAUAGAUAAUACUUUAGAAAAGAAUUGUGAUUCCAAUUCUGUACUUAGCACUUAAUAUUAAAAGUUUCUUAUAGUGAAUAUAAUUUUCUACAACAGAUAGUACAAUUUUGUUUCACCAUUAACAGGUAAAUAAGUAAAUAUACAUUUAAAUAAAUAUUAUAAAGUUCAUUUGUUAAUUAAUACAAACAUUAUAAAUUAUUGAAUACUUUUUCCAAUGGACAAGCAGCUUUAAAAACCUGCUUUCACCACUUUAUUUAUUUAUUUUUUUUUGAGACAGAGUCUCGCUCUGUCGCCUAGGCUAGAGUGAUCUCGGCUCACUGCCAGCUCUGCCUCCCGGGUGCACGCCAUUCUCCUGCCUCAGCCUCCCAAGUAGCUGGGACUACAGGCACCCGCCACCACACCCGGCUAAUUUUUUGUAUUUUUUUAGUAGAGACAGGAUUUCACCGUGUUAGCCAGGAUGGUCUUGAUCUCCUGACCUCGUGAUCUGCCCACCUCAGCCUCCCAAAGUGCUGGGAUUACAGGCAUGAGCCACCGUGCCCGGCCUUUUUUUGGUAUUUUUAGUAGACAUGGGGUUUCACCCUGUUAGCCAGGAUGGUCUCGAUCUCCUGACCUCGUUAUCCACCCGCCGCGGCCUCCCAAAGUGCUGGGAUUACAGGCAUGAGCCACCGUGCCAGGCCACUUUCACCACUCUUAAUCCUCUGAGGUGAAGAGGUCUUUUAAACUAUAGUUUGUAUAACUGAAAAUCAAAAGAAAAAAGUUUUAAUGAAGUUUUUGUAAUUAGUAAGAAACAUAAGGGAAUACCAAAAGCAAACUUUUUUGAAUGCUUACUUUUGGGGAAGCAUUGAAUUUUAUAUCUGGUAUAUGAUAAUUCAUAUCUUAGGAUAUGCUCCCCUUUCUAUAAGUAGGAAUUAGGAAACACGGAGAGGUGAAUUUUUUGCUCAUGAAUGAAUUUACCCAUUAGGCAUUUUUGAGAGGUAUCAGUAGUCAGCAGUUAUCACUUUCUUCUACUCUUCAUAUUGCUAGAGACAUAGUGACUCCAUGUCUUAUAGAAUGUUCAUUUUCUCUUUCACUUAUCCCAUAUCAUGUGCCAGCUAUUGAUCCAAUCAAUUUUAACAAUGAAAGUUCUAAACCAGGAACCAUUUACACUGGAUCUUACAUUUGCCCUGGGUAAGAUGGCAGUUGAUGGCAGUGUCCACGUGCAUCAGGAAGAAGUCUUCAUUAGCUUCAUGAUUUAAGUCCUUAAAUGUAAUUUUAUCACAGAAAACAUAACCUAUAUUCAAGCCUUAACCUUAACUUAGUCCUCAUAUUCAUUGUUACCCUUACCAAGUUUUUCUUAAUUGUAUGCCUAGCAUGCAAAUGAUACGGACAGGAGACAGGGAAAUACAGGGUAGAAAAGGGCAGUUCCCCAGCAAAGGCCCCACCCUCAAGCCUGAAAAACCAUGGCCCUAAAUGAGGACAGGCAUUCCUGUUGUCACACCCAAAAAGUUGCCUUUUGGCCUGCCAUGCCCCAUAUCCUGUACCCAUAUAAAUCCCGAACCCCACGCUCCAGAAGCAGAUGAGCAGGUGAGGAAAUGAGGAGUCAAACAGAUGGAUAGUAGAACGACACAGCAAAGAAAGAAGAGGAAUGUCUGAAUACCAAGAGGAGUUCAGCUGGGGGCAGUUAGGGAGAGGUUUGGAGACUGGCCAGUUUCCAGGGGAAGAUCACCUUCCUAUUCUAUCCCCUCCUUCUGCCUCCUCAUCCAGCGCACUGAGAGCCACCUCCACCACUCAAUAAAAACCUUGCAUUCAUCCUUUAAGCCCGUGUGUGACCUGAUUCUUCCAGGACGGUGGGUAAGAGCUCAGGAUACUGAAAGCUGUCACACUGGCUCUCUGCGCUUGCGAAAAGGCAGAGGGUCCAUUGAGCUGGUUAACACUUAAAAUCAUCUGCAGACAGCAAGGCUAAGAGAGCAUCAGUUAACACUGUGGCUGCAGGCACCCACCCCAAGACACUGCCGUGUGACCAGAGAACACAGUGCUUGCUCCAGCCUCUGCACCCACCUGUCUGCAUGAUCCCUCUCCCUCAAGGGUUUUGAGCAGCAGUGGUGACCAAAUAGCCAAGCCACUCCCCUGUUGCAAGUCCUGAGAGGGGGAUCAGGGAACUCUCCCAUUUCACUUAGGCAGGGAAGGGGUAAGACUAUGGGAUGGACUAAGAAUGUAGAUUUUACAUAUCACUUGGUAAUUUGUUACAAAUUAUUUGGUAAUUUUUUUUUCUUUUUGAGACAGAGUCUUGCUCUGUUGCCCAGAGCCGGAGUGAAUGGCCAGUCUUGGCUCACUGCAACCUCCACCUCCUGGGUUCAAGCAGUUCUCCUGCCUCAGCCUCCCGAGUAGCUGGGAUUACAGGUGUGCGCCACCAAGCCCUGGCUAAUUUUUGUAUUUUUAGUAGAGAUGGGGUUUCACCAUGUUGGCCAGGCUGGUCUAGAACUCCUGACCUCAUAAUCCACCCACCUCAGCCUCCCAAAAUGCUGAGAUUACAGGCAUAAGCCACCGUGCCCAGCCUACUUGGUAAUUUUUAAAAGCUACAGGUUUAAUAGUUAAUUUCUCAAGCAAAUAAAAGAUGUUCCCAACUCCAAACUGCUUUAUUAAAUAAUUUAACCUAAUUAAAUAGAAUCCUGAUCAUGGACCAUAUAGUUUAUUAUCCAAACUGGAGCCACAGGCAGUAGACAGGAUUGAACCAGACAAUCCUGCAAGAUCACCCACCCUCCUUCAAAGAGAUAUUGUCUGUGAGUGGACAUUAUCCUCACAGCCUUAUACCUCUUUUUUCCAAUGGACAAUUGCAUAUGAAAUGACAGCAGAAAAAUUAAAAAACAGGGCAUCCCCAAGGGCAAAAUAAUGUAGGCCCAACUCAACACAUCAAAGAUGAAAAACUGCAGAAUAUAGCACUCCUCCAACCUGAGCUGUAAAAAGUUAUAUUCUUCAAAUAAUUUUCACUACCACUCUAUAUAACCAUGUUAAAUACAUUAGCACAACAUACUGAUGAAAAUAAAUGUCUUCCAAGAUUUGCACAUAAAUGCAAAGAGGAUCGUAAUCAUUACUUUUAAGAGAUUUGGGGUCAGUUGGUGUGUGUAUAGGGGAGUGUGUUUUAUUGUGAUAUAAUUCAAAAACCAUACAACUGAACAGUUUAAUAUAUUAGCAGAGUUCUGCAACCAUCACCACUAUCUAAUUAUAGAAGAAUUUCAACACCUCAAACACAAACUCCAUACCAUUUAACAAUCACUCUUAAUUCUUCAUUCUCCCCACUCCCAGGCAAACACAAAUCUACUUUCUGUCUCUGUGGUUUUGCCUGUUCCGGACAUUUCAUAUAAAUGAAAUCAUACAAUGCCUUUUCUGGCUGAAUUCUUUUUACAAUAUAAUAAUUUCAAGGUUCAUUCAUGUUGUAACACGUAUCAGUACAUCAUUCCUUUUUAUUUCUGAAUGAUAUUGAAUUAUAUGGACAUACUACAUUUUGUUAUCCACUCAUCAGUUGCUGGACAUCUGUAUUAUUUCCAUUUCUGAGGUAUUAUGUGUAACACUGCUAUGGACAUUUAUGUGGAAUUUUUUGUGGACAUAUGUUUUCACUUCUCUUGGAUAUAUACCCAGGAGUGUAAAUUGCUGGUCAUAUUGUCUCUGUUUUAUAAUACAUUUUGAGGAACUGCCAAACUGCUUUCCAAUGUGACUUCACCACUUUAAAAUCCCACAGCAAUAUAUGAUAAUUACAAUUUCUCCAUAUCCUCACCAACAUUUGUUAUCAUCUGUUUUUUUUAUCUGAGCCGUCCUAGUGAGUAUAAAGUGGUAUCUCAUUAUAGUUUUGAUUAGCAUUUCCCUUCUGGCUAAUGAUGCUGAGUAUCUUUUCAUGUGUUUCUUAGCCAUUUGCAUAUUUUUCCUUGAAAACAGUCUAUUAAGAUAUUUUUCCUUAUUUUUGAAUGGGUUAUUUGUUUUUUCACUACUGAAUUGUAAGAGUAGUUUCUUUAUGCUAAAUACAAGAGCUGUAUCAGUUAUAUGUUUUGCAAUUGUUUUCCCUUUUACUGGAUUGUUAUAAUAAAGAGUCUGACUCCAUUAUUGAUGUGUGACUCUUGGCAGCUUUUAAAACCCCAUCCUAAUGUCUUCCCCUUCUGUCCCGCACUGGACCAUGAUGAUAAGAAAGUCUGGGUUUUCCCACCUUUGGCACUGAAGGGAAGUUCAAACCACACAGGGGGACCCUCAGCCCAGCCUCAUCUUAUAACCCCCAUAAAACCCCCA